UGGGUGCCAAGCUAAAUUAAGAAGUAGCUUUGACAUUUUCUGCUUGAUUUAUCUGCAAUUUUCCCCUUUUCCUUGAUGGGCUAGAAGUGACAGUCUGAAAAAGUACCAAGAAUUUUUUAUGCAGGACGACUGGUGGUUAAAAUAAGAACAAACACAGAGAGAUAACAUGGAAGUAAGACCUAAAAUGGAUUCUUGAUUCAGCAUGGUGUGUUCUGUCCUCCUUUUUGGUUAGAUAUUAGUCUUCGUUUAGGCAUUAAUUACAACUAAUAGAAAAAUUAUAAAAAAGUGUAUAUAAAAAAGAUUGUAAUUACUAUAAUGCUUAAAUUCCUUAGAUAGUGAACUACAAUGUUAUGAUGACUUAAAUAAACUAAAUAACUUAAAAACACAAAANNNNNNNNNNNNNNNNNNNNNNNNNNNNNNNNNNNNNNNNNNNNNNNNNNNNNNNNNNNNNNNNNNNNNNNNNNNNNNNNNNNNNNNUGAAGGCUUCAAGUGGAAUCAAUAGUUGAAAACGGCUCGAAUGCCUGGUCAAAGCUUUCUGAACUAAUGUUGAGGAUGGUGUGAACCACCUCCUAGUGGUGACUGGUGGUGGGUGUAGUCAAUGGUUUAGUCCUUUUUCUCGGUGGCAAGAUGGAGGAGUUUGAUUUUUUUUAGUAGUAGAUAUUUGGUGGAAGGUGGGGAUAGCAAAUAGGCUCAGAUACUGCUGUGGCCUGGUUAACUGAAACCCACAGUAGCCAUAGCGAAAGCAAGUCUUCAUAGGGCAAUUUUGCUGCUUAUCCGUAGGCGCCAUAGCGAAAGCAAGUUUUUGUAGGGCAAUGCUUAUUGCUUAUGGACCUGAACUUGGGUGAUCUAUCCAUUAACAAAUAUAGGACGAAUUGCAGUUUAGUUAACUUAUCCAGCCGAUACUUUAGAAAUAGAGGAAAUUUAUGAGAGAAAUAGGAGAAUAAAGAUAAAUGAUCCAAAGUAAUUUAAUUGUUGAGCUAUUAUUAACUCUAGGAGCACAACAACUUUGUAUGCAUUGUAAUUUCUUUGUCAAGAAAUAUACCAAUUAUAUUUAUAGGGUCUGGUAACUCUUCUGCGUUCUCGGAGUACCUAAUAAUUUUUAUGUCAAUAAUCAACUUUAAUUGGUAAUGUAAAAGCCCAAUAAGCAACUUUAACUGGUAAGGGAAAAAGUCGUGUCAAUUAGCAACUUAAGUUAGAAAAGAAAGCACUUUUCCCCUAACUUUUCUUGUUUUUUUUUAGUUUGCUAUACAUCGAUUUGGAAGUUUGGUUUCUUAAUAUGUAUUAUUCAUUUACCAUUAUAUAUUCUUUUCAAAUAUAGAAUAAAGAUGUAUUUUUUCAAAUAAGUGUCUUUGUCUAAACACGGAACCAAAAAGCAGUUACUUGCAAAAACACAUUUAUUUUUACAAUAUCAACUACUGGCUUGAUUGAAGCUAAGUUGAGGCAGAGCUGAAUGAAACCAAAAAACGUAAACGGAGCAAAGCAGUUUAGUUCAAAGCUACCUUAAAGUAAUAUAGCAGGCAUGGCUUUCAACUCCUGCCCUCCAUUUUGAUUGGUCGUAGGAUCAAUUUCUCAAUCUUGAAAGUUUUGUAUUCACUGUAAUCAGGAGUUCAUUUCAAACAUGCUUUGGAUCAUAUCUGUACCUUAUAAUGGAUUUUUGCUCGUUCAUCUUUAACAGGGCAAUUGCGGAAUAUCUGUCACGUGAUCUUCCAUACAAAUUGUCAUCAGAUGAUGUUUUCAUCACAUCUGGAUGCACACAAGCCAUCGAUGUUGCAUUGGCGAUGCUUGCUCGUCCUGGUGCAAACAUCUUACUUCCAAGGCCAGGAUUUCCUAUAUAUGAACUUUGUGCUGCUUUUAGGCAUCUUGAAGUUAGGCAUUUCGAUCUUCUUCCUGAGAAAGGCUGGGAGGUUGAUUUGGAUGCAAUUGAAGCUCUUGCAGACCAAAACACUGUAGCAGUGGUGAUUAUAAAUCCUGGGAAUCCCUGUGGAAAUGUUUACAGUUAUCAACAUCUGAAGAUGGUUAGUGGCUUAAACUCAAAUUCAAGUGGAAAAACAGAAUCUAUAUGAGUACCUUAUUUGAAUCUAUAUGAGUACCUUUGUAUUUAGAUUGCAGAAACUGCAUACAAGUUAGGAAUCCUUGUAAUUGCCGACGAGGUCUAUGGUCACCUUGCCUUUGGGCGUACUCCAUUUGUGUCAAUGGGAGUUUUUGGAUCAAUUGUUCCUGUUCUUACUCUCGGCUCUCUAUCAAAGAGAUGGAUAGUGCCUGGUUGGCGACUUGGUUGGUUCGUGACUAAUGAUCCCAGCGGCACAUUUAGAAAGCCUAAGGUUCUCUAUCUGUUUCUCCUGCUCAUUUGAACUCUAAAUGCAUGAAGGAUUAGAAUUUUUGGCCCAAUUUUUAUAAACAAUUGAAAUUGUUAGUUUUUUAGUCUGGAGAUUUUUUCUAAGAUGUCUUACUAUUCAACAAUUUUCUUUUUUUCGUUUUAUGAUAGUAAUUAUUUAGGUUUGGGCAUUCUUUAAGAAAACUAGUAUCUUCCUUGCCUGCUUAGCAUAUCUCAAAUCUGAUGGUUAACAUGAAAAUAUGUCAUCAUAAAAUUGUUAACUUCUUGAUUUCUUUUUAGCAGGUUGUUGAGCGUAUUAAGAAGUAUUUCGAUAUUUUGGGUGGGCCUGCAACCUUCAUUCAGGUUUGUGCACUAUCUACGACUUGGUAGUUUCUUAUACAAGCUAUGGCUUCCACAAAAGCUUAGAUGUCCAUAUCAAUCAAUAGAACAAAAAACUGUUGUAGUUAUCAAAUUCCAUGUAUGAUUAGGAAAGCAACUUCCCCUUCGAAAUCUGAUAAGGGAGCUGAACAUGUUAGUUCUCUCGCUAAGAAUCCAUUUAUUACAGUCCCAACUCCCAUUUCAUGACGAUAUUGUUUUUGGGUGUGUUAGGCGGCAGUUCCUGCUAUCCUUGGACAAACCAAUGAGCUUUUCUUCAAGAAAACGAUUAAUACACUGAAGCACUCAUCAGACAUCUGUUGUGAUAGGAUAAAGGAAAUCCCAUGCAUCAGUUGUCCCCACAAACCAGAGGGAUCUAUGGCUGUGAUGGUGAGGAAGUAGUAGAAUUUGUUCUUCUAUUUAUUCAAAUUAUUCAACUCAUAAAUAACUUCAUUCUUUUUGCUUUUUGUGCCCAAAUGUAUUGCAGGUGAAACUAAAUCUUUCCUUAUUGGAUGAUAUAAGUGAUGACAUUGACUUUUGUUUCAAGCUGGCGAAAGAGGAAUCUGUGAUUAUUCUUCCAGGUGAGAAAUGAAAAUUUACAGAAUUCUGAUAUUCUUGAUUGUCUUCUUUAUCUUGGGGGAACGGUUAGACAUUCUCUUUGUAGGUUUAGUGGACUUAUGCGUGCGAGAAUAUAAAUAAAGUUGCAUAAUUUUUUAUUAGUUUAAAAUUUUAAGAUAACCGCAACCAAUGACCCAGCUUAUUAUUUCAUGGAGAAUUUCUUUAUACGUUCUGCAAAACACAUAUUCCAUUCCGCCGAAUUCAUAUAUGUUAUUCUUUAGAACUUUUUUCUUCUUAGUAGCAACUCUAGAACUGAUAAAGGAGAAAGUAUAUUCAUUUCCAGGAACUGCGGUGGGGUUAAAAGAUUGGCUUCGAAUCACUUUUGCUGCUGAUCCAUCCUCUCUUGAAGAAGCUUUCAGGAGGAUAAAAUCUUUCUAUAAAAGACAUGCCAAGCAUCCUCAGUAAGAAUGACAAUUCAAGUUGCCAUCGCCCAAUAGCUACAAGUAACCCUAAGUUGGAUUCUUUGGUACUAGCCAGAAUAGCUGCAAGGGUGAGAAUCACUCUAUUCUUAAACAGGUAAAUAUUGUAUAUAAGGGAUAUCCACAGCAGAAUGCGGCUAACACAGGCAGGGUGGUCGGCCAUUAUGUUUCAAGAAAAUGUUCUAUAUAUUUUAGCCAAAAGAAAAGCCAUAGAUCAAAACCCUUAAAAAUUCCUGCUUAUCUGUUAAAACUUUUGAGGUUAAAACUCAAUCACUAUUCAGUUUCAUAUGAACAAUGCAGAUCAUGUAUCCUACUUAUUUGGCACUUGAUGGAGCACUGAUGAUUUCUUCGAUCACAUCCAUCUGUGUGUAUUCAUUCUGCAAGGUUUACACAUACUAGUAAAGCAGAUAAGGUUUUGUUCAUGUUAAUGUUUACAUUUGUCUUGGCAUGUAGAAUUAUGAGGGUUAGAGAUAAGUUCAAAGAUAUGGAAUAUAUCCUAAUCCAAUAGAUAAGGCCAAAAUGCCAAAUGCCAAAUGCCGUCCGAACUUCGUCUUGUAUUCAGUCUUUGCUCUGCAACAUGGUCAAAAUAAUAUGCCAUUUCAUCUCUUUUCUGAUUAAAUUAUAUUAUUAUAUCAUAUUUUAUCGACCGAAUAAGUAUAAACACUGUACUGGGAAGGAUAUAAUAUUCAUAUAUAAUUAACAUAGAAGUAUAUGAUACUAGUUUUUUCCCCUUGAACACGUUGAGAGUACAAUUGGAAACACAGGUUUAACUUAAUAUUUCAUUUGUAAUGUAUUCCUUUUUACAAUGGAAGAACAGAAUGAAAUUUUGAAACAGAUCAGAUAAUCAUGUGAAACUGAUUCCUCAAACGAGAAAGUUGAGACACUGAAGAACAAACAAGAAGGAGACGGAUCAGAUGUAAGAGAUAAAAAGGUUCCCCCUCCCCCCCCACCAUCAAAUGUUUUUUUAUUUUUUAUUUUUUUAAAUUACCAGUUUCACUCUCCAAAACACUGAAGACAAAACAGGUAGGAGUAAGAACAGCUAGCAGAGCAAAAAUGGAAAUCCCUUGUGCUACCCCAACAUCGUUUUCGUUAAAUUAAUAUCUCAACAACUCUUUCAUCUUCUCGUAUUAAAUACCCAAAUUGCUCUUCUUCACUCUCCUGCAAAAGGGUCUCUCUGGUUUUCUCACCUUCUCAAUCCUUAGCAAAGAUCUGUUCUUCUCCUGAUAAUAAACCAGGUUUUCUUUAAUAUAAUUUUUAUUCAAAUUUUAUCCUGUUCUUAUUCCUACUCCUAUUCUAAAAAAUUUAAGUUCGAACCAAACUCGACCUUAAAUUUAUUCUGAUCUUAGCUCAUGUUUUCAUGUUUUCCUGGAAAGAAGAAAUGGCUGGGUUGGGGAUUGAAGAUGGCAGUGCUUUUAAGGUUCAUGUUUUCUCCUCAUCCUCCGAGGUAAAAUACUCCGAGCUUCCUUUUUAGCUGUUGAUUAAUUAUGGCUUCCUUCCUCACCAUACCCUUCUGGAGGGGGAGGGUAGGUUUUCCCUCAUCGCUAUGCUCUUUAUCCUCUUUAGUGUGGUGUAGGAAGUAAGCUGCUGUCUUCAUAAUAGGUUUGGAGAACUAAUUCUCAAAGCAAGCUGUGUAAAUUUACAAAGAACCAAGUUGUGCAGAGGGUUAGAACUCCUCAGGGGUUCACUGUAUCCCUCUGAAUUUUGGUUUGGUGUUCCAAAAAAUAAGAUAAAUUGUCAGAUCCCUGUAAAUAUGAUCGGUUUAUUUUGAAACCUUUCUCAAAAUAUUGUAGAAACCAAAUUUUAAUUCAUAAUUUGUCAACCCUUUUGGAAUUGUGAAGCACCUAAUCAAUUUUUUUUUUUUUUUUUUCAAUGAGAAUUUCGUAUGUCAGUUUGUGCUGGUUGGAGAAAUACCUGUCUGUUUCCAUUGUAAAGGUUAACAAUUUCUCUGCAAAGUUUUGUAUGCUUUUGAUACUAUCUCUCUCUUUCUCUGUAUGUAUCUAUAUAGUCUUCGAGUUCUUAGGGUUGAGUUUCAAUUUACACAAUCCUGUUCGUGUAUUACUCAGUUGCUUGAAAAGUUGAAUGAAAAGUGGAGUUCAGUGGAAAAGCAACCCUACCCAGCUAUGUAUUCUAGUAUUUUUGGUGGGAUUAUUCUCGAUCCUGCCAUGAUGGUAAUUCCCAUCGACGACCACAUGGUUCAUCGAGGCCAUGGUGUGUUCGACACAGCUAUAAUCUUUGAUGGGUAGGUAAUACACUUUCUGUAUUUUUUUUCUUGCUUCAGUUAACCUGCAAGUGUGUACUAUAUUAGUUUAGCUGCGAUGUAAUUCGAAUCCUAUAAUGGUUUGUCUCUGUAGCUAUCUAUAUGAGCUUGAUGUGCAUCUUCAUCGCUUCCUUCAGUCAGCUGCAAAGGCAAAAAUCUGCUCGCCCUUCCCUCAAUCGGUGCUCAGAAGCAUUCUUAUUCAGCUCACAUCAGCAUCGCAGUGCAGGAAAGGAACUCUAAGGUACUGGCUGAGUGCUGGUCCUGGGGAUUUCUUGCUGUCACCUGCAGGUUGUCCAACAUCCGCGUUCUACGCCAUUGUCAUUGAUGAUAACUUUUCUCAAUGCAAAGUAGGUGUUAAAGCCAUAACAUCCACUAUUCCCAUGAAGUCACCUUCGUUUGCCACCAUGAAGAAUGUAAACUACCUUCCAAAUGUUCUCUCGGUCAUAGAAGCUGAAGAGAAAGGAGCAUCUUCCUCCAUUUGGGUUGAUGAUAAAGGUUGCAUUGCAGAAGGUCCAAAUGUUAACGUCGCGUUUAUAACCCGAGAGAAGGAGCUUGUCUUUCCUUUCUUUGACAAAAUUCUUCGAGGGUGCACUGCAAGAAGGCUUAUUGAACUGGCACCCAAAUUGGUUGAGCAAGGGAUUUUGAAGAGUGUCAAAACUGAUAACCUUUCUGUUGAGGAAGCCAGAGGUGCAGCUGAGAUGAUGUAUGUAGGAAGCACAUUACCAAUUUUGCCAAUCAUCAUGUGGGAUGAUCAGCCCAUUGGAGACGGUAAAAACUUUGCUCUUUGAACUCUAAGUGCCCUCUUUCUCCUGAAAGAAUCGAUUGAGAUUCCGAGCAGUUUUCGCUCCACAAUUUUUUGGAACAAACAGCUACCUCUAAAUCAUAUAAGUUUAAACUACUAGAAGAUCAUUUUAACUUGUAUGUAAAUACAGAUAUAUUCUGAUGAAACCACUGUAUGUUUUUCUUCUUAGCAGGGAAGGUAGGAGCGUUGACAAUGGCCCUUUCUGAUCUGCUUUGGAAUGAUAUGGUUGCAGGCCCUGAUACACAAAGGUUUCCUGUUCCCUACUUGUAGUGAACCAAAAUUGGAAAUGAUCCCAUCUCCUUUAUCCUUUGGAUUCAUUCCUCAAUAUGAGAAAAUGGUCCUUCAAUAUUCAAUAAAAACUUGCUCAUUGUUUAGCAGUUUGUCGGAGUUAACACCGAGCCGACUGCAGAAAUGGCAAUUACAAGAGAAAGGCAAUGGGUUAAUGUUAAUGAAAACCAACUUUAAGUACGAUUUUCACCUACGAACUGUGAGUAAUUAUCCACUAAAUCAGAUUGUUUACCUAUUAUCACCACAGUUUUUCUGUAGCACAGAGUCCUAAUUUUAUAAUUUUCAUCACUUUCUCCAGAAACACCUCUUAAAAACGACAAGCACGAAACAAAUGUAUCAAAUUGUUCUUCUUCUUGAAAGUAAAGAAUUCCAAAUCCACAGGCAAUCUCAUGAACAUGAUUACUCAUGCUUGGAAUUUGGACAUAGAGAUCUACUGUAAAUCUUCAAGAUUAUUUUCUUCAACAUUAGAACAAGAAACACCUCUAAGCUUGAACAUUAACUUUAUGAUCUCAUGUGCUUUAGUGGGUACAUUUUAACCAAUAUGUUUUUGAAGACUUGUGGGCUGAAAUAAUUUUUUGCAAAUACAAAAUAAUUUGUACAAUUAUGAUGAAUUUAUUUUCAUGGAAAAAUAUUUUUGAAAUAUAUGAUUUACUAAUAUACACAUUAUAUAUUGUUUAUUUUUAUUUGUUUAGAUAUUAUAAUUAUUACUAGUUAAAUUUAUAUAGAACAAAAACUAAUUGAAUUAAUAUGUAUGGCUAUUUCAAAUACAGUAGCAAAUUUAGAAUAUAAGUGCACCAAAUAAUAUCAGCCGUCAACUAUAUAAUAUUCAUUAGCACAAGUAAUCAAUUAGUACAAUUGUUCAAUGGACUCCUAAUAUGAGAUCUAUCUAUAUUAGUUUAGAUACAACAGAAAAUCUGAAGUGUUACUUAUGCUCUUAAAUAUAUGAUGACAAACAAGUAGAAUAACUCGUUAAAGUAAAAAUUAAAAUCUAUCACGACCGCACAAGAAAUUCUUGAACUGCAUUAUAAUAAUGUUCUCAAGAUUCAGUUCUACUUGAAUAAAUUUAUAUACUGAAGGGUGUUUCCAUCGUGGACGUGAAUGAUAGAAACAUCCUUGAAAAUUACAUCCAUGUUCAAUGCCUGUAAGGAACAUGGUCCCAAAUUAAAGCACAAGUCUAUGAAGACAUUCCCAAAACUAGGCACGAUUCCUUAUAGCUAUACGGUCACACACAAGUUGGAACACAACAUUAACUACGGAAGCACAGUCUAGCAACUGGACACAUUUGAAAUCAAUUGGGGACAUAAUCUUAGACUCAACGAAAAACUUGACCUAAGCCAAGAUGAUCCUAACACAACCCACCCUAGUGCAUGGUCGAAAUCCUAAAUUUGGAUGUAUUCCCAUGUCAGACCAUGACACAACUGAGGGCACAACCAAAUCCGACCAUGGACAAUGCCCAAUCAAUAAGCUAGAUAGAGAUACAAUCCUACCCCGGGAAAUAAGCUCAAGGACAACUAGGGUAUGAACCUAAGACUAAGCAUGACUGCAUAGCAAAUCUAGACAAGGCCAUCAUCCAGCAUAAUGUUAAGUCCAAGCAUGAGUUCAACCCAGAAAAAAUCAAUGAACUUUAUUAAAAAGAAAAAGUUAACUGUCUCAAAGAAAAAUUUAGUCUCAAUCCAUCAUAUAGCAAAUUGAUCAGAUCAAAAUUUUUUAUUAAUAUUCUCUUUGUAUUUUCCAGUGUUAUUUAUCACUUCUUCCGCAUGACCACUAAAUGCUACACAAGUCUCUUAAAUAAACUGUUUUUAACACUACUAUCAAAUGCUAUCCAAGUCUCUUUUCAGAGACAGAUAUAUCCACCUUUUUUCAAACAGCAAUACCAAUGGUGUAAUUUGGUUGGACUUCAUAUUUGUUUUUGUUGUCCCAACAAAACCUAAAGGAUUAUUCAGAACUGACAUGCAAACAAGAAAUUAGGAACAGGGAAAGUAGAAAACUAUACAUUUUUUUGCUUGAAACUCCCAUAAAAUAAGGAAACUCCAAAAAGCAGUUCUUUUUGAAAGGUUCCCCUCAUCUGCUUGGAAGGAUAUCUGAAAAUGAGAAGUCGUGGAAUGGUGGACCUGAAAAAGAGAAGUCAUACUUAAAUCCAAUUAGAGGGUUGCAAAAAGUUAUCAGCUUCAAAUACACAUCAUUCAUAGUUCUAUAAUAAUUGUUGACGAAAGAACCAUCUGGCGUGGUUUCUUCUCUUUUUUCCUUUUCUGUGGCUUUAAGCUGAUACUAGGAGANN
rnacentral:lncRNA from 1 species